rnacentral:rRNA from 1 species
AGUGAACGCUGGCGGUAGGCCUAACACAUGCAAGUCGAACGGCAGCACAGGAGAGCUUGCUCUCUGGGUGGCGAGUGGCGGACGGGUGAGGAAUACAUCGGAAUCUACUCUGUCGUGGGGGAUAACGUAGGGAAACUUACGCUAAUACCGCAUACGACCUACGGGUGAAAGCAGGGGAUCUUCGGACCUUGCGCGAUCGAAUGAGCCGAUGUCGGAUUAGCUAGUUGGCGGGGUAAAGGCCCACCAAGGCGACGAUCCGUAGCUGGUCUGAGAGGAUGAUCAGCCACACUGGAACUGAGACACGGUCCAGACUCCUACGGGAGGCAGCAGUGGGGAAUAUUGGACAAUGGGCGCAAGCCUGAUCCAGCCAUACCGCGUGGGUGAGGAAGGCCUUCGGGUUGUAAAGCCCUUUUGUUGGGAAAGAAAUCCAGCCGGCUAAUACCUGGUUGGGAUGACGGUACCCAAAGAAUAAGCACCGGCUAACUUCGUGCCAGCCGCCGCCGUAAUAC